UGCAUCGACCGGGAAUCGAACCCGGGCCGCCCGCGUAGCAGGCGAGCAUUCUACCACUGAACCACCGAUAC
rnacentral:tRNA from 1 species